GCAAACUUGGUCAUUUAGAGGAAGUAAAAGUCGUAACAAGGUUUCCGUAGGUGAGUGAAACUCCCCACCCCUUGUCUUGUUACAGUCAACAUUUAUCAUCAGUUAUGCUAAUUUUUUUUGUCUUUUUAGGUGAACCUGCGGAAGGAUCAUUAACGAGUUAGGGUCUCUCUGGCCUAACCUCCCAACCCUAUGUUUACUUAACUAUUGUUGCUUUGGCGAGCCCGCCUAUUAGUGGCCGCCGGGGGACUAGUAUCGUUCCCUGGCCCGUGCUUGCCAACAGCCUAAUUUUACCAAACUCUUCAAUUAAACGUGUCUCUUCUAAGUAUCAAAUGUUAAUUAAAGCAAAACUUUCAACAACGGAUCUCUUGGUUCUGGCAUCGAUGAAGAACGCAGC
rnacentral:misc_RNA from 1 species